rnacentral:rRNA from 1 species
UGGGGAAUUUUGGACAAUGGGCGAAAGCCUGAUCCAGCAAUGCCGCGUGUGUGAAGAAGGCCUUCGGGUUGUAAAGCACUUUUGUCCGGAAAGAAAUCCUUGGCUCUAAUACAGUCGGGGGAUGACGGUACCGGAAGAAUAAGCACCGGCUAACUACGUGCCAGCAGCCGCGGUAAUACGUAGGGUGCAAGCGUUAAUCGGAAUUACUGGGCGUAAAGCGUGCGCAGGCGGUUUGCUAAAGACCGAUGUGAAAUCCCCGGGGCUCAACCUGGGAACUGCAUUGGUGACUGGCAGGCUAGAGUAUGGCAGAGGGGGGUAGAAUUCCACGUGUAGCAGUGAAAUGCGUAGAGAUGUGGAGGAAUACCGAUGGCGAAGGCAGCCCCCUGGGCCAAUACUGACGCUCAUGCACGAAAGCGUGGGGGAGCAAAACAGGAUUAGAUACCCUGGUAGUCCACGCCCUAAAACGAUGUCAACUAGUUGUUGGGGAUUCAUUUCCUUAGUAACGUAGCUAACGCGUGAAGUUGACCGCCUGGGGAGUACGGUCGCAAGAUUAAAACUCAAAUGAAUUGACGGGGUCAUAGCUGUUUCCU